UGGGGAAUCUUCCGCAAUGGACGAAAGUCUGACGGAGCAACGCCGCGUGUAUGACGAAGGCCUUCGGGUUGUAAAGUACUGUCUUUGGGGACGAACGGUAUCUAUGUAAAUAAUGCAGAUACAUGACGGUACCCAAGGAGGAAGCCCCGGCUAACUACGUGCCAGCAGCCGCGGUAAUACGUAGGGGGCGAGCGUUGUCCGGAAUCAUUGGGCGUAAAGGGCGCGUAGGCGGGUCAUUAAGUCUGGUGUGAAAGGCAGGGGCUCAACCCCUGGAAGGCACCGGAAACUGGUUAUCUUGAGGACAGGAGAGGAAAGCGGAAUUCCACGUGUAGCGGUGAAAUGCGUAGAUAUGUGGAGGAACACCAGUGGCGAAGGCGGCUUUCUGGACUGUAACUGACGCUGAGGCGCGAAAAGCGUGGGGAGCAAAACAGGAUUAGAUACCCUGGUAGUCCACGCCGU
rnacentral:rRNA from 1 species